GGCGGCAGCUCCGGCGGAGGCCACAAGUCCACUUCCGGGUCCGCCGGCGAGUCCUCAUCUAAGGGAUCAAGGUCAGCAGAACCCACCUGGGACACCAGUAAAACCAGAGUGAUCAAGACAAUUAUUGAAGAAGUGGCACCUGAUGGUAGAGUCCUUUCGUCUAAGGUUGAAUCAGAAACCAAGAAACACUACUAUUAAGCCGUUUUAUACAGAUGCACGAAAAAAGACCUCCGAGAAAGCGCUUCAGUCUUAACGGUCUAUGGAAAUAACUUCCCUCUUUGAAAAUAAGGUCUCUAAAGGGUGUUUUGUGGUUUCUGUCUUUCUUCUUUCCACUUUACCAGAAGGUGUUUCUUUAAAGGAAAUAAAAAAGAAAUAAUUUCUGUCUUCAUCUACUAAUGAAUUCAAUAAACUUUCUUACUGAUGCAAACUUA